rnacentral:rRNA from 1 species
AUACGGAGGAUCCGAGCGUUAUCCGGAUUUAUUGGGUUUAAAGGGUGCGCAGGCGGGAGAUUAAGUCGGCGGUGAAAUUUUGCAGCUCAACUGUAAAAGUGCCUUUGAAACUGGUUUCCUUGAGUGUAGAUGAAGGAGGCGGAAUUUGUGGUGUAGCGGUGAAAUGCAUAGAUAUCACGAGGAACUCCGAUUGCGCAGGCAGCUUACUAAACUACUACUGACGCUCAGGCACGAAGGCGUUGGGAUCAAACAGGAUUAGAUACCCUGGUAGUCCACGCAGUAAACGAUGAUUACUAGCUGUUUGCGAUACAAUGUAAGCGGCUGAGCGAAAGCGUUAAGUAAUCCACCUGGGGAGUACGUUCGCAAGAAUGAAACUCAAAGGAAUUGACGGGG